GACGAACGCUGGCGGCGUGCCUAAUACAUGCAAGUCGAACGCAGUGGUGACUGGUGAGUAACACGUUGGUAAACUCCCAUCAGAGGGGAUAACCCUUGGAAACAGGUGCUAAACCGAUACUGAUGGAUGGACCCGCGGUGCCUUAGCUAGUUGGUGAGGUAAAGGCUCACCAGGGCGACGAUGCAUAACGGGCCUGAGAGGGUGAUCGGCCACACUGGGACUGAGACACGGCCCAGACUCCUACGGGAGGCAGCAGUAGGGAAUAUUCGGCAAUGGACGAAAGCCUGACCGAGCCAUGCCGCGUGUGUGAAGAAGGUUUUCGGAUCGUAAAACUCUGUUGUUAGGGAGGCGGUAUCUAAAGAGAAAGCCCCGGCUAACUACGUGCCAGCAGCCGCGGUAAUAC
rnacentral:rRNA from 1 species